CCAAAUCAGGUUGAAGUAGCGGUUCUCGUACGAUCACCGAAGUUAAGCAACGUCGAGUCUGAUCAGUACCUAGAUGAGUCAACGCUUGUGAAUAGCAGGUGCUGUAAG